rnacentral:rRNA from 1 species
AGAGUUUGAUCCUGGCUCAGAACGAACGCUGGCGGCGUGGUUUAGGCAUGCAAGUCGUACGAAGCUCUAGGACUUUUUGGUUUCGGCCAAAAAGACUUAGAUGACUGAGUGGCAAAAGGGUGAGUAACGCGUGAGUAAUCAACCUUCAAGAUGUGAAUAACUCCGGGAAACUGGAGCUAAUACGCAAUAUGAUCACAACCUGCACUGCAGGAAGGGAUGAAAGGUGGGGACCCGCAAGGGCCUGCCGCUUGAGGACGAGCUCGCGUCCUAUCAGCUUGUUGGUAAGGUAACGGCUUACCAAGGCAUUUGACGGGUAGCUGGUCUGAGAGGAUGGUCAGCCACACUGGGACUGAGACACUGCCCAGACUCCUACGGGAGGCUGCAGUCGAGAAUCUUUAGCAAUGCCCGCAAGGGUGACUAUGCGACGCCGCGUGAGCGAUGAAGGCCUUCGGGUCGUAAAGCUCUGUCAAGCCGGAUGAAAGUUUAGUAUCUUAAUAGGAUAUUAGAUUGACAGUACGGCUAGAGGAAGCAACGGCUAACUCCGUGCCAGCAGCCGCGGUAAUACGGAGGUUGCAAGCGUUGUUCGGAUUUACUGGGUGUAAAGGGUGUGUAGGUGGUUAGGCAAGUUAGAUGUGAAAGCCCACGGCUCAACCGUGGAACUGCAUUUAAAACUGCCUGACUUGAGUGCAUGAGAGGAAAGGGGAAUUCUCGGUGUAAGGGUGAAAUCUGUAGAUAUCGAGAGGAACAUCAGCGGCGAAGGCGCCUUUCUGGCAUGCAACUGACACUGAGACACGAAAGCGUGGGGAGCAAACAGGAUUAGAUACCCUGGUAGUCCACGCCGUAAACGAUGGGUACUAGGUGUUUCCGCCUUAAGGCGGGAGUGCCGCAGCUGACGCAUUAAGUACCCCACCUGGGGAGUACGUCGGCAACGAUGAAACUCAAAGGAAUUGACGGGGACCUGCACAAGCGGUGGAGCAUGUGGUUUAAUAGGACACUACACCUGGAACCUUACCAGGGCUUGACAUUCUAGUGUAAGCCUAAUGAAAGUUAGGCCCUCCCUCUGGGACACUAAAACAGGUGUUGCAUGGCUGUCGUCAGCUCGUGCCGUGAGGUGUUGAGUUAAGUCUCGCAACGAGCGCAACCCUUAUCCUUAGUUGCCUCUUUUGAGGAUCUCUAAGGAGACUGCCUCGGAUAACGGGGAGGAAGGCGAGGAUGACGUCAAGUCAGUACGGCCCUUACGCCCUGGGCUACACACGUGCUACAAUCCCUACUACAAAGGGUCGCAAUACCGCAAGGUGGAGCCAACCUCAAAAAAGUAGGGUCAGUUCGGAUCGAAGGCUGCAAUUCGCCUUCGUGAAGCUGGAAUCGCUAGUAAGCGCGGAUCAGCUAUGCUGCGCUGAAUACGUUCCCAGGUCUUGUACACACCGCCCGUCAAGCCACCCGAGUCGAUUGCACCCGAAGCCACUGACCUAACCUAACUGGAUGGAGGUGUCGAAGGUGUGAUUGGUAAGGGGGACUAAGUCGGAACAAGGCA